rnacentral:antisense_RNA from 1 species
CUUCACCGAGCCCAGCCACAAGGGCUUGCGCGGAUCCCGGUCCUGUCCGUAGGUCGCGAGGAGCGCCUCCGCCUC